UACGGAGGAUGCGAGCGUUAUCCGGAUUUAUUGGGUUUAAAGGGUGCGUAGGCGGACUGUCAAGUCAGCGGUAAAAUUGAGAGGCUCAACCUCUUCCCGCCGUUGAAACUGGUGGUCUUGAGUGGAUGAGAAGUACGCGGAAUGCGUGGUGUAGCGGUGAAAUGCGUAGAUAUCACGCAGAACCCCGAUUGCGAAGGCAGCAUACCGGCGCCCGACUGACGCUGAAGCACGAAAGCGUGGGUAUCGAACAGG
rnacentral:rRNA from 1 species